AGUUAUUUCUUAAUAUUUACGUGUUUAAAUAAAUCAUACAUAGAAGCUUAACACAGCUCCUGCAUAGGAUGACACACAAAUUCGUGAAGCAUUUCAUAUUUUU
rnacentral:snRNA from 1 species